UGGGGAAUUUUGGACAAUGGGCGCAAGCCUGAUCCAGCAAUGCCGCGCGCAGGAUGAAGGCCUUCGGGUUGUAAACUGCUUUUGUACGGAACGAAACGGCUCUGGUUAAUACCUUGUGCGGAUGACGGUACCAUCAGAAGAAGCACCGGCUAACUACGUGCCAGCAGCCGCGGUAAUACGUAGGGUGCAAGCGUUAAUCGGAAUUACUGGGCGUAAAGCGUGCGCAGGCGGUUAUGCAAGACAGAGGUGAAAUCCCCGGGCUCAACCUGGGAACUGCCUUUGUGACUGCAUAGCUAGAGUACGGUAGAGGGGGAUGGAAUUCCGCGUGUAGCAGUGAAAUGCGUAGAUAUGCGGAGGAACACCGAUGGCGAAGGCAAUCCCCUGGACCUGUACUGACGCUCAUGCACGAAAGCGUGGGGAGCAAACA
rnacentral:rRNA from 1 species